GUAUCAGAAGUGCGAAUGCUGACAUAAGUAACGAUAAAGCGGGUGAAAAGCCCGCUCGCCGGAAGACCAAGGGUUCCUGUCCAACGUUAAUCGGGGCAGGGGGAGUCGACCCCUAAGGCGAGGCCGAAAGGCGUAGUCGAUGGGAAACGGGUUAAUAUUCCCGUACUUGGUGUUACUGCGAAGGGGGGACGGAGAAGGCUAUGUUGGCCGGGCGACGGUUGUCCCGGUUUAAGCGUGUAGGUAUGUGUUCCAGGUAAAUCCGGUUCACUUUAACACUGAGGCGUGACGACGAGGCACUACGGUGCUGAAGCAACAAAUGCCCUGCUUCCAGGAAAAGCCUCUAAGCAUCAGGUAACAUCAAAUCGUACCCCAAACCGACACAGGUGGUCAGGUAGAGAAUACCAAGGCGCUUGAGAGAACUCGGGUGAAGGAACUAGGCAAAAUGGUGCCGUAACUUCGGGAGAAGGCACGCUGACACGUAGGUGAAGUGAUUUACUCACGGAGCUGAAGUCAGCCGAAGAUACCAGCUGGCUGCAACUGUUUAUUAAAAACACAGCACUGUGCAAACACGAAAGUGGACGUAUACGGUGUGACGCCUGCCCGGUGCCGGAAGGUUAAUUGAUGGGGUCAGCGCAAGCGAAGCUCCUGAUCGAAGCCCCGGUAAACGGCGGCCGUAACUAUAACGGUCCUAAGGUAGCGAAAUUCCUUGUCGGGUAAGUUCCGACCUGCACGAAUGGCGUAAUGAUGGCCAGGCUGUCUCCACCCGAGACUCAGUGAAAUUGAACUCGCUGUGAAGAUGCAGUGUACCCGCGGCAAGACGGAAAGACCCCGUGAACCUUUACUAUAGCUUGACACUGAACAUUGAGCCUUGAUGUGUAGGAUAGGUGGGAGGCUUUGAAGUGUGGACGCCAGUCUGCAUGGAGCCGACCUUGAAAUACCACCCUUUAAUGUUUGAUGUUCUAACGUGGACCCGUGAUCCGGGUUGCGGACAGUGUCUGGUGGGUAGUUUGACUGGGGCGGUCUCCUCCUAAAGAGUAACGGAGGAGCACGAAGGUUGGCUAAUCCUGGUCGGACAUCAGGAGGUUAGUGCAAUGGCAUAAGCCAGCUUGACUGCGAGCGUGACGGCGCGAGCAGGUGCGAAAGCAGGUCAUAGUGAUCCGGUGGUUCUGAAUGGAAGGGCCAUCGCUCAACGGAUAAAAGGUACUCCGGGGAUAACAGGCUGAUACCGCCCAAGAGUUCAUAUCGACGGCGGUGUUUGGCACCUCGAUGUCGGCUCAUCACAUCCUGGGGCUGAAGUAGGUCCCAAGGGUAUGGCUGUUCGCCAUUUAAAGUGGUACGCGAGCUGGGUUUAGAACGUCGUGAGACAGUUCGGUCCCUAUCUGCCGUGGGCGCUGGAGAACUGAGGGGGGCUGCUCCUAGUACGAGAGGACCGGAGUGGACGCAUCACUGGUGUUCGGGUUGUCAUGCCAAUGGCACUGCCCGGUAGCUAAAUGCGGAAGAGAUAAGUGCUGAAAGCAUCUAAGCACGAAACUUGCCCCGAGAUGAGUUCUCCCUGAGACUUUAGGUCUCCUGAAGGAACGUUGAAGACGACGACGUUGAUAGGCCGGGUGUGUAAGCGCAGCGAUGCGUUGAGCUAACCGGUACUAAUGAACCGUGAGGCUUAACC
rnacentral:rRNA from 1 species